CUCUACUAUAUAUAUCUGGAGAUCGCGCUCCCAUAUCUCGUCAAACAAAAAAGUGUCCGCAAAAACAUGGCGGAUUUCGAGCUCCGCGUCCACUAUUUUCGGGCGAUUUACCACUGACCACAUAAUAUUUUUUAAAGCCACCUGUUUUCGCACCCCCCUGGAUGCAAAAAGUAUACACUGUGUAAUUAUUAAACUAUCAAGUUUCACAACUUUAUAUUUUGUCAACAUGCCGCGUUUGCUCGGUUUAUGGUUGUCACAACUCCUUUGACAAAGACCGGGACUGUAUUCACACUGUCACUGGUAAGGAAAUAUUAUUUUGUGCUAUCAUUCGAGAAGUUUUUUUCUGCAAAUGACAAUGUAAAGCAAACGGUAGUUUAUGUUUUGUUCACGUGCAUGUGUCACCAGCUUUUCUCGACUAUGGCUUCUUUUCUGAGGUUUUUGCAUGCAGUUUGUUUCAUUCAAAUAUUAUAUUUCCAUUGUUCCUUGUGAUGUUCUCGUGUGCGUUUUUCCUACCUACUGUACAGUGUAUUUUAUAGGCCUGUUUGUAUUUAUGAAAGCAUAUUGUUAUUGAAUUUUUUCCCUUCACAUAUUUAAGCAUUCCUGAUGCAAAGAAGCAUCCAGAAUUGUACAGCAUAUGGGUUGAGUAUAUGAAUAAACAUGCGCCAGUGAAGUCUGUUCCUGUGAAAAGUAGUUGUUUGUGUUCAGAUCACUUUAGUGCUGAUAUGUAUGAGAUAAAGGGCAAAAGCCAGAAAUUAGUAUUGAGACCGGAUGCUAAUACCAACAAUAGUUACACAACGGUUUGCUCAGGUCAUUGGUGCGAGUUAAUUAAAGUGUUAUAUGUAACAGUGUGCAUGAUUUACAUUCUUUGCUAAGGGACAAGUCAUUAUUAAUGCCGGGUAGGGGGCUGGUGGAAAUUUUUAUGAAUAGCAAAAAUUUUUCAUGACCCCUUAUUUUUCUAACAAACUAUCCCCCCCCCCUUAUUGAGGCAACAUAUUUCAUAGCCCCCCCCCUCCACCCCAAUUCUGAAUUCAAUUACUCUAAGUCAAUUUCGUAACCAUUUUUCCUGCCCUCAUACUCAGUUUACUUGCAGAUGUAAAGAAUAUUGUAAAUAUUGAAAAUAAAGAAUAUUGUAAAUAUUGAAAAUGAUAGCCAAGUAGAUAAUUCAGACUUUAUACCUGAAAAGUUGUUGGUCCUCAAACAAAAACCCACACAUCAGACCUAAUUUUACUAAUUGAAAAAAAUACAUUUGUGUCUGGUGGAAGCAUUACUGUAUAUUGAA